rnacentral:lncRNA from 1 species
UGAAGUAUAAUAUAGAAAAGAACCUUCUAUCUCAAUUCUCAGUUAAAAUAAACGUUCAUCGUUAAUAAAAAAAAUCAAGCUGUGUAAAAGUGAGAUAUUUUUAAUACUUAUGUUCAAUGUUUUUUUUUAGAGAGAGAGAGAGAGAGGUAGUAUGCUAUUCGUUUUGUUUAUUUUAUUUAGAAAUAAACUUAGCUGAAAAUAUGAAUCAAUUAGGAUUCAAACUUGGGGUCUCGGAUACCAACCAUCAAAUCCUUUGCUACUUGCGCUAGGAACGAUUAGUAUGUUCAAUAUUUUCUUGAUGUGCAAGACCUGUCCUUUAGUUAUACAAAA